AGGAUAAUUUGAGCCUAGUUAUUUGUGCCUUGAGUGAGAACUCUGGGCGUAUUUGUUCAAUGAUCCAUCAUAUCUAAUAGCCCUUGUGAUUUAAAGAGGGCAGGUGCCCUAUUCUCAUGAAGCACUACUGAGAUUUGGAAGACAAUAUUGCGUAAACUGCACCUCCAGUUCUAAGUAACACAAAAGUAUCAGUCUCUUACAUAGCAGAAUACAAGAAGCAAAGGCAAAUGGUUCUUCAUAUGACUGUUGUACCAAACAAACAAACUGAUCUAUUCUUGUAAAAGCCUGCUUCUGCCCUGUGGAAUAGCAUCUCCCCAGAAAUCCAGAUGGCCCAGACCCUGAUAAAUUUUUGUAAGGCUCUGAAGACCUGGCUGUUCCCCGAAGCAUUUGGGCAGAAGGGUUUGAAGUAGCCUUUGUGGCUCCGCAGGCUGGGCUGGAGUCAAAGUGCCGCCUGAAAAGAAGACCUCAUGGAUGAAUAUAAUCUUUAUGACUACUAUCACUGCCAUCACCACCACCACCAUUAUCACCACUGUUGUGGCUUUCUGGAGUUCCCAGCAAAUAUACACAUUUGGACACACUUUGAUAUAAUUUUAAGUUCAAUUUUAAGUGCAAACCCUGCAGAAGAUUCUUCAAUCAAUAGUGUGUCUAGUACCCAAUAUUCCUAUAUUAUUUUUACUAAUUUUGUAAAGCUGAAUUGUGAUGGGUUUUGGGGGGCAGUUAAACAUGUUAUUAAACUAUGCGUUGUCCCUUUUAAUGUUCAAUAAACGGGCAUCUUUUUUCUGCAACUAUCUCAUUUGCCUCAAAAAUGUGUUCAAGUCUCUCGGUAUAUAAUGUCCAGUCAUGUAUAGUAUAAUCAUACAUAUUCAUCUUCUCAAUAAAGCUAGCUAUCCUGCUGUGAUCUUUUCCCCUUUGCCUUUACUUGCUGUGAAUGCUUCAGUUGUUUGUUUUUGACUGCCCAUUCCCUUCAUGAGAGAAGGCUUGAAACACUUCAUUUUCUUUCUGUCUCUUUUUUUUUAGAUCCCACAUUUGUCAUAGCAGUUGUGUCCUUUCUACUUACCAAACAAAAGUUUCUAGAGUCAGGACUUUUUUUUUAUGCUGCUUUUUUUACUAAAACUUCUAGAAAACUAACUUCAGUAAGUCUGCAGAAAUUAAUACAUGCUGGCAGUUCAAGGCAAUAGAACAACAACAGUAGAUCACAGAAGCAUCAAUCUUAAUCAAUCAAUAUAACAACCCACAUUUUGUUUUGUCUUCUACCAGAAUUUCACA